UACGGAGGAGGCAAGCGUUAUCCGGAAUUAUUGGGCGUAAAGCGUCCGCAGGUGGCACUUCAAGUCUGUCGUCAAAGACUGGGGCUUAACCCUGGAAAGGCGGUGGAAACUGAAGCGCUAGAGUGCGGUAGGGGUAGAGGGAAUUCCCGGUGUAGCGGUGGAAUGCGUAGAGAUCGGGAAGAACAUCGGUGGCGAAAGCGCUCUACUGGACCGCAACUGACACUCAGGGACGAAAGCUAGGGGAGCGAAUGGG
rnacentral:rRNA from 1 species